AUUGAACGCUGGCGGCAGGCCUAACACAUGCAAGUCGAACGAGUGGCGGACGGGUGAGUAAUGUCUGGGAAACUGCCCGAUGGAGGGGGAUAACUACUGGAAACAGUAGCUAAUACCGCAUACCAUCGGAUGUGCCCAGAUGGGAUUAGCUAGUAGGUGGGGUAACGGCUCACCUAGGCGACGAUCCCUAGCUGGUCUGAGAGGAUGACCAUCCACGCGGGAACUGUACCACGGUCCAGACUACUGCUGGAGGCAGCGGUGGUGAAUGUUGCACAAUGGGCGCAAGCCUGAUGCAGCCAUGCCGCGUGUAUGAAGAAGGCCUUCGGGUUGUAUAGUGCUUGCGGCGAGGAGGUGUUACUCGCAGAAGAAGCACCGGCUAACGCCGUGCCAGCCGCGGUAAUAC
rnacentral:rRNA from 1 species